ensembl:lncRNA
AUGCCAGGCAAUCUAUGCCAAUAUCCCAGAAUCGCCUGUCGAGCUUUUACUAGUAACAUCAAGGUUCCCACAUCCUGGUGUGUUCAGAAUUGGUGGGUUCUUGGUCUCAAUGACUUCAAGAAUGAAACCACAGACCCUAUGGCCCUUGUCCUCAGGAGGCAAGGAAAAAGCAGUGUGAUUCCUUCCAUGUGUUCUUAAGCUUGCAAGAGAGACACCAGAGAUGAAUCAUGAAAAACACACCAAAGGAAAGAGAGCACUUCCCAAGACCUAGAAAGGAGUUGAGGUAAGUCAUAUAUUCAUAGACCAUAUUCUCCAGCCCUAAGAAUAAAGGUUUUCAACCUUGGCUAUGCCUUAGAUUUUUAAGAGUACCUACAGUACUCAAAAAAUGCCUGGGUUAGGCAUGGCGGCUCACGCCUGUAAUCCCAGCACUUUGGGAGGCUAAGGGGGGCGGAUCACGAGGUCAGGAGAUCGAGACCAUCCUGGCAAACAUGGUGAAACCCCAUCUCUACUAAAAAUACAAAAAAAAAAAAAAAAAAUUAGCCGGGCGUGGUGGCGGGUGCCUGUAGUCCCAGCUUCUCGGGAGGCUGAGGCAGGAGAAUGGCGUGAACCCGGGAGGCGGCGGAGCUUGCAGUGAGUGGAGAUCGGGCCACUUCACUCUAGCCUGGGCGACAGACCAGACUCCGUCUCAAAACAACAACAACAACAACAACAACAAAAAUUUGGCUGGGUGUGGUGGGUGUGGUGGGUGUGGUGGCAGGCAUCUGUAAUCCCAGCUACUCGGGAGGCUCAGGCAGGAGAAUGACUUGAACCUGGGAGGCGGAGGUUGCAGUGAACUGAGAUUGUGUCACUGCACUCCAGCCCAGGUGACAGUGCAAGACCCGGACUCAAAAAAAAUAAAAAACAAAAAAUAAAAAAAAUAAAAAUUCCUAUCCUGAACCACAUAAGUGAGAAUCUCUGGAGUGUUUUGUUUUGUUUAGUUUUUAAAUUCCCCAGGUUAUUCUAAUAUGCAGUCAUAGUUGAGAAUCAUUGCCUUGGUAUGACAGACCAAAGUGGUCCCCUAAGAAAUCUAUUUUUUCCUGAGCCAUAUAUUAUGAAACUCUUCCUUCUCGAAGUGGAAGGAGAUGGGCAACUUUUAGUGCCCCAUACAUCUCUGUAAUCCUCCAUCAGAGGUAAGAGAAUGCGUCCUACAAAUGUACUACCUGAAUACCAGAAUAUUAAAAAAGAGUGAGUAUUCACAAACACACCCCAUAUAUGAAUUAUGUACAUAUGUGUACAUUACAUAUGAUAAUUAGGAAAUGCUGUUUUAGCCACUGGAAGUACAGAAAAAUUAUUUCAUGGUGCUAAAAUGGUCUUCAUCCAUUCUAACUUUAUUAAAAAUGAAGCAUACCACCGGGCACGGUAGCUCACGCCUGUAAUCCCAGAACUUUGGGAGGCCGAGGUGGGCGGAUCACGAGGUCAGGAGAUCGAGACCAUCCUGGCUAACACGGUGAAACCCCAUCGCUACUAAAAAUACAAAAAAAAAUUAGCUGGGCAUGGUGGCGGGCGCCUGUAGUCCCAGCUACUCGGGAGGCUGAGGCAGGAGAAUGGCGUGAACCCAGGAGGCGGAGCUUGCAGUGAGCUGGGAUGGCGUCACUGCACUCCAGCCUGGGCGACAGAGCAAGACUCCGUCUCAAAAAAAGAAAAAAAAAACAACAGAAGCAUACCUAUUCUGAAGAAGUUAGUAGAGUAAAUGUGCUAACU